AUCCAAAAUGUCGCUCUGUUAAGGAGUAAUUACUCCUUAACAGAGAGACAUUUUGGAUUU
rnacentral:miRNA from 1 species